AUACGGAGGGUGCAAGCGUUACUCGGAAUCACUGGGCGUAAAGCGCGCGCAGGCGGCUAUUUAAGUUGGAUGUGAAAGCCUACGGCUCAACCGUAGAACUGCAUCCAAAACUAUUUAGCUAGAGUGUGGGAGAGGAAGAUGGAAUUAGUUGUGUAGGGGUAAAAUCCGUAGAGAUAACUAGGAAUACCAAAAGCGAAGGCAAUCUUCUGGAACACUACUGACGCUGGGGCGCGAAAGCGUGGGGAGCAAACGGGAUUAGAAACCCUAGUAGUCC
rnacentral:rRNA from 1 species